ncrna:unclassified sequences malK-I RNA
UCCAACCGCUGCCCGGACACUCCACUUCUUGCCCGGCGGCGGCAGCUUAAAGGAGGAAGAUCCGCUGUGACUGGCGGUGCGGCAGUGUGGAGACCUGUCGUAAUGCGGCGCGCCGGAAGGCGGCUGCGAGGCGGCUUUUUGCGGAGGCAGAGCGGCUACAGUCAAUAUGAAUAUGGCA